rnacentral:rRNA from 1 species
UGGGGAAUUUUGGACAAUGGGCGAAAGCCUGAUCCAGCAAUGCCGCGUGUGUGAAGAAGGCCUUCGGGUUGUAAAGCACUUUUGUCCGGAAAGAAAUCCUUGGCUCUAAUACAGUCGGGGGAUGACGGUACCGGAAGAAUAAGCACCGGCUAACUACGUGCCAGCAGCCGCGGUAAUACGUAGGGUGCAAGCGUUAAUCGGAAUUACUGGGCGUAAAGCGUGCGCAGGCGGUUUGCUAAGACCGAUGUGAAAUCCCCGGGCUCAACCUGGGAACUGCAUUGGUGACUGGCAGGCUAGAGUAUGGCAGAGGGGGGUAGAAUCCCACGUGUAGCAGUGAAAUGCGUAGAGAUGUGGAGGAAUACCGAUGGCGAAGGCAGCCCCCUGGGCCAAUACUGACGCUCAUGCACGAAAGCGUGGGGAGCAAACAGGAUUAGAUACCCUGGUAGUCCACGCCCUAAACGAUGUCAACUAGUUGUUGGGGAUUCAUUUCCUUAGUAACGUAGCUAACGCGUGAAGUUGACCGCCUGGGGAGUACGGUCGCAAGAUUAAAACUCAAAUGAAUUGACGGGGUCAUA